CCUACGGGAGGCAGCAGUGGGGAAUAUUGGGCAAUGGGCGCAAGCCUGACCCAGCAACGCCGCGUGAAGGAAGAAGGCUUUCGGGUUGUAAACUUCUUUUCUCAGGGACGAAGCAAGUGACGGUACCUGAGGAAUAAGCCACGGAUAACAACGUGCCAGGAGCCGCGGUAAUACGUAGGUGGCAAUCGUUAUCGGGAUUUAAGGGGUGUAAGGGCGUGUAGGCGGGGACGCAAGUCAGAUGUGAAAACCACGGGCUCAACCUUGAGCCUGCAUUUGAAACUGUGUGUCUUGAGUACAGGUGAGGCAGGCGGAAUGCCUGGUGUAGCGGUGAAAUGCAUAGAUAUAAGGAGGAAC
rnacentral:rRNA from 1 species